rnacentral:rRNA from 1 species
UACGUAGUGGGCUAGCGUUGUUCGGAAUUACUGGGCGUAAAGCGUGCGCAGGCGGUUCGGAAAGAGAGAUGUGAAAUCCCAGGGCUCAACCUUGGAACUGCAUUUUUAACUCCCGAGCUAGAGUAUGUCAGAGGGGGGUAGAAUUCCACGUGUAGCAGUGAAAUGCGUAGAGAUGUGGAGGAAUACCGAUGGCGAAGGCAGCACCCUGGGACAAUACUGACGCUCAGGCACGAAAGCGUGGGGAGCAAACAGG